CCUGCCAGUAGUCAUAUGCUUGUCUCAAAGAUUAAGCCAUGCAUGUCUCAGUACAAGCCAAAUUAAGGUGAAACCGCGAAAGGCUCAUUAAAUCAGUUAUGGUUCCUUAGAUCGUACCCACAUUUACUUGGAUAACUGUGGUAAUUCUAGAGCUAAUACAUGCAAAUAGAGCUCCGACCGGAGACGGAAGGAGUGCUUUUAUUAGAUCAAAACCAAUCGGCGACGGGUCAAACCGUUGUCGUAAUAUUUGGUGACUCUGAAUAACUUUUUGCUGAUCGCACGGUCUAGCACCGGCGACGCAUCUUUCAAAUGUCUGCCUUAUCAACUGUCGAUGGUAGGUUCUGCGCCUACCAUGGUUGUAACGGGUAACGGGGAAUCAGGGUUCGAUUCCGGAGAGGGAGCCUGAGAAACGGCUACCACAUCCAAGGAAGGCAGCAGGCGCGCAAAUUACCCACUCCCGGCACGGGGAGGUAGUGACGAAAAAUAACGAUACGGGACUCAUCCGAGGCCCCGUAAUCGGAAUGAGUACACUUUAAAACCUUUAACAAGGAUCAAUUGGAGGGCAAGUCUGGUGCCAGCAGCCGCGGUAAUUCCAGCUCCAAUAGCGUAUAUUAAAGU
rnacentral:rRNA from 1 species